UCUGCUUACUGAGCAGUCGCGAGAGAAAGCCGAAAGGCUUCUUUUGAGGAAAGUCCGGGCUCCUAUGGGCAUGAAUAACGGAUAACGUCCGCCGAAGGCAACUUCCGGGACAGUGCAACAGAAAAUUACCGCAGGCUUUAUGCCUGUAAGGAUGAAAAGGCGAGGUAAGAGCUCACCGGGGCUUUGGUAACAAAGCCUGCUGUGUAAACCCUAUUCGGAGCAAUGCCGCAUAUAAGACACGCCGCAAGGCAGCGCCGCCCAUCGCGUCUUAAAGGCAGCUGGAGAUAUACGGUAACGUAUGUUCGAGAUAGAUGAUUGCAUAAAACAGAACCCGGCUUACGGGUAAGCAGAUUUA
rnacentral:RNase_P_RNA from 1 species